rnacentral:rRNA from 1 species
AACGAACGCUGGCGGCAGGCUUAACACAUGCAAGUCGAACGAGAAGCUCACUUCGGUGAGUGGAAAGUGGCAGACGGGUGAGUAACGCGUGGCAACCUACCUUUUUCUACGGAACAACAGUUGGAAACGACUGCUAAUACCGUAUGCGCCCUCCGGGGGAAAGAUUUAUCGGUGAAAGAUGGGGCCGCGUUAGAUUAGCUAGUUGGUGAGGUAAUGGCUCACCAAGGCGACGAUCUAUAGCUGGUCUGAGAGGAUGAUCAGCCACACUGGGACUGAGACACGGCCCAGACUCCUACGGGAGGCAGCAGUGGGGAAUAUUGGACAAUGGGGGCAACCCUGAUCCAGCCAUGCCGCGUGAAUGAUGAAGGCCUUAGGGUUGUAAAAUUCUUUCGCUAGGGAUGAUAAUGACAGUACCUAGUAAAGAAGCCCCGGCUAACUCCG